GCCUUGCUAAGGGCAUGUGACUGCACAGAUGACUUUGUAUAUUUUAUUUGUCAGGCUAUGCCUGCCAUAGGAAUCUGUGUAAGUUACCUCAAGCCUCUGGCACUCCUGAGUUCUGGUCAGUGUGGUCACAACUUUCCACGAACAGCAAUGAAAAUUCAUGCCACUGUAACUUCAUCCAUUUGCAGAGGUUCUAUCCCUUUGGUUGUUCCUGUGUCCACUGGCUUUGCCUGAAAAUGAAGAAAGCAAGUGUGCAAGAAGAUCAUCCUGAGAUGGCAGGGACAGGACUGUGGUUACAGGUGCUGGUAGCUGUGCCAGCUUCUUAAAUGGGUACUGGGAAUCAAACUCAGGCUGUUUUACGUCUUCUCAGAUACUCAAGGUUGCUCGGUUGAUUUUCACCUUGCUUCUUUGUUCGACUCCCUGCUGGCCAGGGCAAAUGGUGCCCAAAUGUGAGGCCUGAGGUAUGAAGAAAGACCUGAACAUCGCUCAAAGUGGAUGGCCAUCCCAGCCGUUAGACCGCCACCCCACCAGAGGGGUGAGUGAAGGUCUGCAUAGAGGUCACUACAGGCAAUACACCUGUAAAACAGACCUGCACCGGGAUCGACGCAGAAAAGCCCGCCUGUGAAACUGAUUCG